GAUGUCGGCUCAUCGCAUCCUGGGGCUGUAGUCGGUCCCAAGGGUUGGGCUGUUCGCCCAUUAAAGCGGUACGCGAGCUGGGUUCAGAACGUCGUGAGACAGUUCGGUCCCUAUCCGUCGUGGGCGUAGGAAAUUUGAGAGGAGCUGUCCUUAGUACGAGAGGACCGGGAUGGACAUACCUCUGGUGUACCAGUUGUCGUGCCAACGGCAUAGCUGGGUAGCUAUGUAUGGACGGGAUAAGUGCUGAAAGCAUCUAAGCAUGAAGCCCCCCUCAAGAUGAGAUUUCCCAACUUCGGUUAUAAGAUCCCUCGAAGAUGACGAGGUUAAUAGGUUCGAGGUGGAAGCGUGGUGACACGUGGAGCUGACGAAUACUA
rnacentral:rRNA from 1 species